GUGGGGAAUAUUGGGCAAUGGGCGCAAGCCUGACCCAGCAACGCCGCGUGAAGGAAGAAGGCUUUCGGGUUGUAAACUUCUUUUAAGAGGGAAGAGCAGAAGACGGUACCUCUAGAAUAAGCCACGGCUAACUACGUGCCAGCAGCCGCGGUAAUACGUAGGUGGCAAGCGUUGUCCGGAUUUACUGGGUGUAAAGGGCGUGCAGCCGGGUCUGCAAGUCAGAUGUGAAAUCCAUGGGCUCAACCCAUGAACUGCAUUUGAAACUGUAGAUCUUGAGUACCGGAGGGGCAAUCGGAAUUCCUAGUGUAGCGGUGAAAUGCGUAGAUAUUAGGAGGAACACCAGUGGCGAAGGCGGAUUGCUGGACGGCAACUGACGGUGAGGCGCGAAAGUGUGGGGAGCAAACAGG
rnacentral:rRNA from 1 species